GAGCCGAACUUUUACUUUGAUUGGGAACUUUUAUUAUCAUGUUGGAGGUUAAAGUAUGGAAGACUGGCACAGACCUCAGUAAGCCAUCAAGUGUUACCAUCAGAUCUAGAAGAACAGAGCCAAUGUCUGCUGAAGCUGGAGUAGAUUACAUCCCUGUGGUGCGGAUAUUAGACUUUGCACCAGGUGAGAUGACAAAGACUUUGAGUGUCACUAUCCUAGAUGAUCUUGGUCACCCAGUCCUUGAGGGAACAGAAAAAUUUCAGCUUCAUCUAAGGAUGUCAGUUGGAGGGUCCAUGGGUGAACCAACUGUAGCCACAGUCUGAUUGUGAAAGAGAGACAGAAUGCAGGGUGAAAAUUAUCAGUGACAGACAACAUGAGAAGGAGGUCAUAUGACUUUCUGUUGUGAAACUCUUGAACUGCUUGAAGGAUUUUAAAGAAACUUAAAACAAAUGUUCACCACAUUGGGACUAUGUGCAGAGAGCAUGUUUUGGAUGACUCACUUCAAGGUCAAGGUCACAGGGGUCAAAAGGUCAUACCUUUGGCGUUUAUUGCUCUGCAUUGUGGUGCUCUUUUCUCAUAGUGGAGGGAAGAAACAACAAAAAUAUUUCAAAAUUGGGUUGAUAUAUUGGAGAUAUCUAUAGAAUGAUUUUCUAAAGUGUAAACAGACUAUUUUAAUGAAUUAGAUAUUGGCUGUAGUGUCAGAUCAGGAUUGAAAAAAUGUGUAAAAUUAUCACCAGUUUUCAUUCAAAAUGGACCCAAAAUGACCCAAUAAGAUUUCAUGUUUGGCCCCAUAAGAUAUUUAAGACUUGUUAUGAGUGACUUUGGAUGCCAACAUCUUUCUUCAGAAGGUUUUAAAUUAAAUGGUAUAAAAUAAGCUUGAACAUAUGGGCUGCGCCAUGGGAAUACCAACAUAGUGGCAAGUGGCUUUGCGAUCAGCAUGGAUCCAGACCAGCCUGCGCAUCCACGCAGUGUGGUCAGGAUCCAUGCUGUUCACUUUUAAAGCCUAUUGCCAUUAGAGAAACUGUUAGCAAACAGCGUGGAUCCUGACCAGACUGCGCGGAGGCGCAGGCUGGUCUGGAUCCACGCUGGUGGCAAAGUCACUAUGUUGGUUUUCUCAUAGCGCGGCUCAUAUAUGUUUGCAUAUUUAAUUUGCUACAUUUAAGGUCCAGUGAUAAAGUUUGACAGGAGUCAGUAUACAGUAAAUGAGCCGAUUAUCCCUGGUGACUUCAACAUUUUACGUGUGCCAGUGAUACGUCUAGGUGACCCAUCAGGAAUUUCCGUGGUCAGGGUGUCAACCAAGAGCGGAAGUGCAAGUGCUGGCCGAGAUUUCAAUGCAUAUUCCAGAUGUAGGUUCAAAAUGUAUUAAAAUUUAUAC